rnacentral:rRNA from 1 species
CAUUAUACCGUGAAACUGCGAAUGGCUCAUUAAAUCAGUUAUCGUUUAUUUGAUAGUACCUUACUACUUGGAUAACCGUGGUAAUUCUAGAGCUAAUACAUGCUAAAAACCCCAACUUCGGGAGGGGUGUAUUUAUUAGAUAAAAAACCAAUGCCCUUCGGGGCUCUUUGGUGAUUCAUGAUAACUUAACGGAUCGCAUGGCCUUGCGCCGGCGACGGUUCAUUCAAAUUUCUGCCCUAUCAACUUUCGAUGGUAAGGUAUUGGCUUACCAUGGUUUCAACGGGUAACGGGGAAUUAGGGUUCGAUUCCGGAGAGGGAGCCUGAGAAACGGCUACCACAUCCAAGGAAGGCAGCAGGCGCGCAAAUUACCCAAUCCCGACACGGGGAGGUAGUGACAAUAAAUACUGAUACAGGGCUCUUUUGGGUCUUGUAAUUGGAAUGAGUACAAUUUAAACCCCUUAACGAGGAACAAUUGGAGGGCAAGUCUGGUGCCAGCAGCCGCGGUAAUUCCAGCUCCAAUAGCGUAUAUUAAAGUUGUUGCAGUUAAAAAGCUCGUAGUUGAAACUUGGGCCUGGCUGGCCGGUCCGCCUCACCGCGUGUACUGGUCCGGCCGGGCCUUUCCUUCUGGAGAGCCUCAUGCCCUUCACUGGGUGUGUUGGGGAACCAGGACUUUUACUUUGAAAAAAUUAGAGUGUUCAAAGCAGGCCUUUGCUCGAAUACGUUAGCAUGGAAUAAUAGAAUAGGACGUGCGAUCCUAUUUUGUUGGUUUCUAGGACCGCCGUAAUGAUUAAUAGGGAUAGUCGGGGGCAUCAGUAUUCAAUUGUCAGAGGUGAAAUUCUUGGAUUUAUUGAAGACUAACUACUGCGAAAGCAUUUGCCAAGGAUGUUUUCAUUAAUCAGUGAACGAAAGUUAGGGGAUCGAAGACGAUCAGAUACCGUCGUAGUCUUAACCGUAAACUAUGCCGACUAGGGAUCGGGCGAUGUUAUUAUUUUGACUCGCUCGGCACCUUACGAGAAAUCAAA